GGAUGAUAUGAAAAAGACUGUCUAAACCAGUUCUACAGUCAGCUGCAAGGGUUUUAAGAAGGUCUACAAAAUUCCCAGCUAGUACUUAAGAUCUUCAGGUGACAUCUGGGGAAAACGGAAGAAGAGUGAAUGAAGACUUGUUGGUGCGUCAGCAUGCUGAUCUGUCACAUGCUCCUCAAGGUUCAAUGGACUCAAAAGAGCUACGCUCAAGAGCACAGGCCGGUUGUCAUGGUUUCGAGGGCCUGGCAGAGGCAGGAUUAGGAGCCAUUUUAGGGACAGCUGGCCGGGUCGGUCUCCACCUCCCCUUCAUCCCGCGCAGAGACGCUCAGGGGGGAUGAGGGGGGACAUUGUGCGAGGAUUAGAGCUUCCUGUGUGUC